rnacentral:rRNA from 1 species
AUCCUGGCUCAGGACGAACGCUGGCGGCGUGCUUAACACAUGCAAGUCGAACGGUAAGGCCCUUCGGGGUACACGAGUGGCGAACGGGUGAGUAACACGUGGGUGAUCUGCCCUGCACUUCGGGAUAAGCCUGGGAAACUGGGUCUAAUACCGGAUAGGACUCCGAAUCGCAUGGUUUGGGGUGGAAAGCUUUUGCGGUGUGGGAUGGGCCCGCGGCCUAUCAGCUUGUUGGUGGGGUGAUGGCCUACCAAGGCGACGACGGGUAGCCGGCCUGAGAGGGUGUCCGGCCACACUGGGACUGAGAUACGGCCCAGACUCCUACGGGAGGCAGCAGUGGGGAAUAUUGCACAAUGGGCGCAAGCCUGAUGCAGCGACGCCGCGUGAGGGAUGACGGCCUUCGGGUUGUAAACCUCUUUCAAUAGGGACGAAGCGUAAGUGACGGUACCUAUAGAAGAAGCACCGGCCAACUACGUGCCAGCAGCCGCGGUAAUACGUAGGGUGCGAGCGUUGUCCGGAAUUACUGGGCGUAAAGAGCUCGUAGGUGGUUUGUCGCGUUGUUCGUGAAAACUCACAGCUUAACUGUGGGCGUGCGGGCGAUACGGGCAGACUGGAGUACUGCAGGGGAGACUGGAAUUCCUGGUGUAGCGGUGGAAUGCGCAGAUAUCAGGAGGAACACCGGUGGCGAAGGCGGGUCUCUGGGCAGUAACUGACGCUGAGGAGCGAAAGCGUGGGGAGCGAACAGGAUUAGAUACCCUGGUAGUCCACGCCGUAAACGGUGGGUACUAGGUGUGGGUUUCCUUCCUUGGGAUCCGUGCCGUAGCUAACGCAUUAAGUACCCCGCCUGGGGAGUACGGCCGCAAGGCUAAAACUCAAAGGAAUUGACGGGGGCCCGCACAAGCGGCGGAGCAUGU